rnacentral:rRNA from 1 species
AGUGAACGUUGGCGGCGUGGAUUAGGCAUGCAAGUCGAGCGAGAACCGUAGCAAUACGGGGACAGCGGCGAAAGGGACAGUCAUGUGUAGGUACCUACCUCCGGGUUCGGGAUAGCUGCGAGAAACUGCAGGAAAUACCGAAUAACGUCUCCGGACCAAAGGUGUCAUUCCACCUGGAGAUGUGCCUGCAUCCUAGUAGCUUGUUGGCGGGGUAACGGCCCACCAAGGCGACGAUGGGCAGCUGGUGUGAGAGCACGACCCGCGUCAUUGGGACUGAGACACUGCCCAGACACCUACGGGUGGCUGCAGUCGUGAAUCUUCGGCAAUGGGCGCAAGCCUGACCGAGCGACGCCGCGUGCGGGAUGAAGGCCUUCGGGUUGUAAACCGCUGUCGUAGAGGAGGAAAUGCAGGGGGGUUCUCCCCUCUGUUCGACCUAUUCUAGGAGGAAGUACGGGCUAAGUUCGUGCCAGCCGCCGCAGUAA